AUUGAACGCUGGCGGCAUGCCUAACACAUGCAAGUCGAACGAGUGGCGGACGGGUGAGUAAUAUCUGGGAAACUGCCCGAUGGAGCUGGAUAACUACUGGAAACGGUAGCUAAUACCGCAUACCGUCGGCUCUGCCAGGUGGGGAUUAGCUUGUAGGGAUGGUAACGGCUCACCUAGGCGACGAUCCCUAGCUGGUCUGAGAGGAUGAUCAGCCACACUGGAACUGAGACACGGUCCAGACUCCUACGGGAGGCAGCAGUGGGGAAGAUUGCACAAUGGGCGAAAGCCUGAGGCAGCCAUGCCGCGUGUAUGAAGAAGGCCUUCGGGUUGUAAAGUACUUUCAGCGGGGAGGCGUUACCCGAAGAAGAAGCACCGGCUAACUCCGUGCCAGCAGCCGCGGUAAUAC
rnacentral:rRNA from 1 species